rnacentral:lncRNA from 1 species
GACUCCGUCUCCCAUAAGGCACUGGGCCUUCUGCACCCGAACCCAAUAAUUAGAGGCCAUUUCACAUGGCGCCCACUCAGAGUUGUCAGGGCCCAAGAACAGGCUCCAGAUGUUGGCUGGAAAAAGGCGAGGACCAGCUGCCCGAGCUCUAAGGCCUGGGCGCUCUUUGGCGAGCCGCCCCUCCCCCGCCUCGGGCACCAUCAGAGAGAGAUCAGUGAAACAUCUAUGGGGAGCUGGAAGAUAAUUGAUGCAUCUUGGAGCCUCAUCACAGAAGCUGCACUGACUGAGAGCACAUUCAUCUGAGAAGAGAAAGUGCUUUACUUCAUUGGUGACUAGAAAAAUAGAUCUUGGAACUGAUGUACAAUACGGAUGAACUUAUCUGGGCAACCAAAUUUUGCUAUGAUCUUCCAAAGUCAUAACAAAUAUGGAAACAGAAUAAAGAACAUACAAAUCAGUCA